rnacentral:rRNA from 1 species
ACGCUGGCGGCAGGCCUAACACAUGCAAGUCGAGCGGUAGAGAGAAGCUUGCUUCUCUUGAGAGCGGCGGACGGGUGAGUAAUGCCCAGGAAUCUGCCUGGUAGUGGGGGAUAACGUUCGGAAACGGACGCUAAUACCGCAUACGUCCUACGGGAGAAAGCAGGGGACCUUCGGGCCUUGCGCUAUCAGAUGAGCCUAGGUCGGAUUAGCUAGUUGGUGGGGUAAUGGCUCACCAAGGCGACGAUCCGUAACUGGUCUGAGAGGAUGAUCAGUCACACUGGAACUGAGACACGGUCCAGACUCCUACGGGAGGCAGCAGUGGGGAAUAUUGGACAAUGGGCGAAAGCCUGAUCCAGCCAUGCCGCGUGUGUGAAGAAGGUCCUCGGAUUGUAAAGCACUUUAAGUUGGGAGGAAGGGCAGUAAAUUAAUACUUUGCUGUUUUGACGUUACCGACAGAAUAAGCACCGGCUAACUCUGUGCCAGCAGCCGCGGUAAUACAGAGGGUGCAAGCGUUAAUCGGAAUUACUGGGCGUAAAGCGCGCGUAGGUGGUUCGUUAAGUUGGAUGUGAAAUCCCCGGGCUCAACCUGGGAACUGCAUUCAAAGCUGACGAGCUAGAGUAUGGUAGAGGGUGGUGGAAUUUCCUGUGUAGCGGUGAAAUGCGUAGAUAUAGGAAGGAACACCAGUGGCGAAGGCGACCACCUGGACUGAUACUGACACUGAGGUGCGAAAGCGUGGGGAGCAAAC